CCUACGUGGGGCUGCAGUGAGGAAUAUUGGUCAAUGGGCGCGAGCCUGAACCAGCCAAGUAGCGUGAAGGAUGACUGCCCUACGGGUUGUAAACUUCUUUUAUAAAGGAAUAAAGUGAGGCACGUGUGCCUUUUUGUAUGUACUUUAUGAAUAAGGAUCGGCUAACUCCGUGCCAGCAGCCGCGGUAAGACGGAGGAUCCGAGCGUUAUCCGGCUUUAUUGGGUUUAAAGGGAGCGUAGAUGGGUUGUUAAGUCAGUUGUGAAAGUUUGCGGCUCAACCGUAAAAUUGCAAUUGAUACUGGCAGUCUUGAGUACAGUUGAGGUAGGCGGAAUUCGUGGUGUAGCGGUGAAAUGCUUAGAUAUCACGAAGAACUCCGAUUGCGAAGGCAGCUUACUAAACUGCCACUGACAUUGAUGCUCGAAAGUGUGGGUAUCAAACAGGAUUAGAUACCCCAGUAGUC
rnacentral:rRNA from 1 species